GACGAACGCUGGCGGCGUGGAUUAGGCAUGCAAGUCGAACGGUAUCAUCCUUUCGGGGGUGAGAGAGUGGCGAACUGGUGAGUAACACGUAGGUUAUCUACCCUCAAGACGGGGACAACCCAGGGAAACUUGGGCUAAUACCGGAUGUGAGCAACUUUUAGUUGUUUGAAAGGUGGCGUAAGCUGUCGCUUGGGGAUGAGCCUGCGUCCUAUUAGUUAGUUGGUGAGGUAACGGCUCACCUAGGCAAUGAUAGGUAGGCGGCCUUAACGGGUGGUCGCCCACACUGGGAUUGAGAUACGGCCCAGACUCCUACGGGAGGCAGCAGUCGAGAAUAGUCUACAAUGGUCGGAAGACUGAUAGUGCGACGCCGCGUGAACGAUGAAUCCCUUCGGGGUGUAAAGUUCUUUUAUAUGUGAGCAGUGCUUCUUAUAUUAACAGUAUGGGGAGAGAGAUAUUAGCAUAUGAAUAAAGCAACGGCUAACUCCGUGCCAGCAGCCGCGGUAAACU
rnacentral:rRNA from 1 species